rnacentral:misc_RNA from 1 species
AACGCACAUUGCGCCCAUUAGUAUUCUAGUGGGCAUGCCUGUUCGAGCGUCAUUUCAACCCUUAAGCCUUUUGUUGCUUAGUGUUGGGAGCCUACGGCCUUCUGUAGCUCCUUAAAGUUAGUGGCAGAGUCGGUUUCACACUCUAGACGCAGUAAAUUUUUAUCUCGCCUAUGGAUGAGCCGGUCCCUUGCCGUAAAACCCUUUACUUUUUAAAGGUUGACCUCGGAUCAGGUAGGAAUACCCGCUGAACUUAA